UGCUGUCCCUGCUCUGUGAGAAUAGGA
rnacentral:misc_RNA from 1 species